CCUACGGGAGGCUGCAGUGAGGAAUAUUGGUCAAUGGCCGGAAGGCUGAACCAGCCAUGCCGCGUGAAGGUCAGUGCCCUAUGGGCGUUAAACUUCUUUUGUGCGGGAGCAAUAAUGGUCACGUGUGGCCAGACGAGAGUACCGUACGAAUAAGCAUCGGCUAACUCCGUGCCAGCAGCCGCGGUAAUACGGGGGAUGCAAGCGUUAUCCGGAUUUAUUGGGUUUAAAGGGUGCGUAGGCUGGGAGGUAAGUCAGCGGUGAAAUGCCCCCGCGCAACGGGGUGAAGUGCCAUUGAUACUGCCUGGCUGGAAUGCGGAUGCCGUGGGAGGAAUGUGUGGUGUAGCGGUGAAAUGCAUAGAUAUCACACAGAACACCGAUUGCGAAGGCAUCUCACGAAUCCGCGAUUGACGCUGAUGCACGAAAGCGUGGGUAUCAAACAGGAUUAGAUACCCCAGUAGUC
rnacentral:rRNA from 1 species